rnacentral:rRNA from 1 species
UGCUUCCUACGGGGGGCAGCAGUGAGGAAUAUUAGUCAAUGGUCGGGAGACUGAACCAGCCAAGCCGCGUGAGGGAGGAAGGUACAGAGUAUCGUAAACCUCUUUUGUCAGGGAACAAAGACUGGGACGCGUCCCCGGAUGAGUGUACCUGAAGAAAAAGCAUCGGCUAACUCCGUGCCAGCAGCCGCGGUAAUACGGAGGAUGCGAGCGUUAUCCGGAUUUAUUGGGUUUAAAGGGUGCGCAGGCGGCGAGUUAAGUCAGCGGUAAAAUUUCGGGGCUCAACCCCGACGAGCCGUUGAAACUGG